GCAUAAUAAAUAGUUUUUUAAUUGGGAACUGGUAUGAAGGGUAGAAAAUUAAUAAGGGGUUGUUUUAUUUAAUAUAUUUUGAAUUUAAAUUAAAAGUAAAAAUGCUUUUAUUAAAUUUUGGGACGAGAAGACCCUAGAAGCUUAAAAUUAUAUAAAAUUUUUAGUUGGGGCAACUUAUGAAGAGAAAAAUAUUUUUAUAAAUUUUAGAUUAAAUUUUAGGAAAAGUUACUUUAGGGAUAACAGCAUUAUUUAAUUAGCAAGUUCUUAUUAAGAAUUAAGUUUGUGACCUCGAUGUUGAAUUAAUU
rnacentral:rRNA from 1 species